GGACUACACGGGUUUCUAAUCCUGUUUGCUCCCCACGCUUUCGAGCCUCAGCGUCAGUCAUGAUCCAGUAAGUCGCCUUCGCCACUGGUGUUCUUCCGAAUAUCUACGAAUUUCACCUCUACACUCGGAGUUCCACUUACCUCUAUCAUACUCUAGGCUAUCAGUUUUGAAGGCAAUUCCAAGGUUGAGCCCUGGGCUUUCACCUCCAACUUGAUAACCCGCCUACGCUCCCUUUACGCCCAGUAAUUCCGAGCAACGCUAGCCCCCUUCGUAUUACCGCGGCUGCUGGCAC
rnacentral:rRNA from 1 species